AACUGAAGAGUUUGAUCAUGGCUCAGAUUGAACGCUGGCGGCAGGCUUAACACAUGCAAGUCGAGCGGGGGAAGGUAGCUUGCUACUGGACCUAGCGGCGGACGGGUG
rnacentral:rRNA from 1 species